UACGUAGGGACCGAGCGUUGUCCGGAUUCAUUGGGCGUAAAGAGCUCGUAGGCGGCCACUCAAGUCGAAUGUGAAACCUCGAGGCUCAACCUCGAGCCUGCAUUCGAUACUGGGCGGCUAGAGUCUGGUAGGGGGAUCUGGAAUUCCUGGUGUAGCGGUGGAAUGCGCAGAUAUCAGGAGGAACACCGGUGGCGAAGGCGGUUUCCUGGCCGAGUACUGACGCUGAGGCACGAAAGCGUGGGGAGCGAACGGG
rnacentral:rRNA from 1 species